rnacentral:rRNA from 1 species
GAUGAACGCUAGCGGCAGGCUUAAUACAUGCAAGUCGAGGGGCAGCAUGACUGUAGCAAUACAGUUGAUGGCGACCGGCAAACGGGUGCGGAACACGUACAGAACCUUCCUUCGAGCGGGGAAUAGCCCAGAGAAAUUUGGAUUAAUACCCCAUAGUAAAACGGAUUGGCACCACUUUGUUGUUAAAGAUUUAUCACUUGAAGAUGGCUGUGCGGCUGAGUAGGUAGUUGGCGGGGUAACGGCCCACCAAGCCUGCGAUCAGUAACUGGUGUGAGAGCGCGACCAGUCACACGGGCACUGAGACACGGGCCCGACUCCUACGGGAGGCAGCAGUAAGGAAUAUUGGUCAAUGGACGAAAGUCUGAACCAGCCAUGCCGCGUGGAGGAUGAAGGUCCUCUGGAUUGUAAACUUCUUUUAUAUGGGACGAAAAAAGGGUUUUCUAACUCGUCUGACGGUACCAUAUGAAUAAGCACCGGCUAACUCCGUGCCAGCAGCCGCGGUAAGAC